UUAGAUACCCUGGUAGUCCACACAGUAAACGAUGAAUACUCGCUGUUGGCGAUACAAUGUCAGCGGCCAAGCGAAAGCAUUAAGUAUUCCACCUGGGGAGUACGCCGGCAACGGUGAAACUCAAAGGAAUUGACGGGGGCCCGCACAAGCGGAGGAACAUGUGGUUUAAUUCGAUGAUACGCGAGGAACCUUACCCGGGCUUAAAUUGCAACUGACGGACUUGGAAACAGGUCUUUCUUCGGACAGUUGUGAAGGUGCUGCAUGGUUGUCGUCAGCUCGUGCCGUGAGGUGUCGGCUUAAGUGCCAUAACGAGCGCAACCCUUACCGACAGUUACCAUCAGGUAACGCUGGGGACUCUGUCGGGACUGCCGUCGUAAGAUGUGAGGAAGGUGGGGAUGACGUCAAAUCAGCACGGCCCUUACGUCCGGNGCUACACACGUGUUACAAUGGGGGGUACAGAAGGCAGCUACACGGCGACGUGAUGCUAAUCCCGAAAGCCUCUC
rnacentral:rRNA from 1 species